GGCACUGCAACCCUCAUGCACCAGGUCGGAACAUCACUUACUCAGUUUUAGGUGUGCCAGGCUGCCCUACCCCUCAUCAAGAUGGAGGGGCCGCUGGACCAAAUCUGAGUGGGCACUGUGGUUGCCAGUGAUGCUGCUCCUCACUGCUGCCACAGGGCCAGCCCCUAUACCAAAGCUCCACACACACCCCACCACAGGGGUUCUCCUCAGCUUUGUCCCACUUCCAGCAGCCCAUGUCCUCUCUGCUCUGCCUACAGGACUCACUCAUAAACAUCCUCAAGACCUGCCUCAGGUAUGGGGAGGUGAGGUGAGUGCCUGCGUGGGGGAGCCAGAGGGGCAGCAGAGAGCCCUGGAGGGAAGUGAGCAUGAGGAGGUUUUGCCUAGGGCCCAGAGAUGGAUGUCGACCCAUGGCACGCAGAGCUCCAGAUGGACUGCAGGCUACCUGAUGAGCCCGGAGAAGAGAAUGCACCAGCAGGAGCUAUGCUACCCGAGGAUCCCAGAGACCCGGGGGAACUGUGGAGCAUCACCAAGGGAGAAAGGGUUCCAGGCAGUUCCUUACCAACCCAUUUACUGCGGCUCUGACACCAGGGUGAUAGCCACACUUCAAGUCCUGAGCUGCCUCCAAGAGCAGACUUAACCCUUAUUCCUCCAUGAACAAUGCACAGUACAGAGGGAAACUUAUGCACACAUAGGACUCAAAAAUAUUACAGAAAAUUCCCACUUUGUCACACCAUGUGAGGU